rnacentral:rRNA from 1 species
AACAGGAUUAGAUACCCUGGUAGUCCAUGCCGUAAACGAUGAUUACUAAGUGUUGGAGGGUUUCCGCCCUUCAGUGCUGCAGCUAACGCAUUAAGUAAUCCGCCUGGGGAGUACGACCGCAAGGUUGAAACUCAAAAGAAUUGACGGGGGCCCGCACAAGCGGUGGAGCAUGUGGUUUAAUUCGAAGCUACGCGAAGAACCUUACCAGGUCUUGACAUCUUCUGCCAACCUAAGAGAUUAGGCGUUCCCUUCGGGGACAGAAUGACAGGUGGUGCAUGGUUGUCGUCAGCUCGUGUCGUGAGAUGUUGGGUUAAGUCCCGCAACGAGCGCAACCCUUAUUACUAGUUGCCAGCAUUCAGUUGGGCACUCUAGUGAGACUGCCGGUGACAAACCGGAGGAAGGUGGGGACGACGUCAAAUCAUCAUGCCCCUUAUGACCUGGGCUACACACGUGCUACAAUGGAUGGUACAACGAGUCGCGAAACCGCGAGGUUUAGCUAAUCUCUUAAAACCAUUCUCAGUUCGGACUGUAGGCUGCAACUCGCCUACACGAAGUCGGAAUCGCUAGUAAUCGCGGAUCAGCAUGCCGCGGUGAAUACGUUCCCGGGCCUUGUACACACCGCCCGUCACACCAUGAGAGUUUGUAACACCCAAAGCCGGUGGGGUAACCUUUUAGGAGCUAGCCGUCUAAGGUGGGACAGAUGAUUAGGGUGAAGUCGUAACAAGGUAACC